rnacentral:tRNA from 1 species
UCCCAGGUGGCUCAGUGGCAAAGAAUCUGCCUUCCAAGCAGGAGACAGGGGUUCAAUCCCUGUGCUGGGAA